GACGAAGGAUGCAAGCGUUAUCCGGAUUCAUUGGGUUUAAAGGGAGCGUAGGUGGCCUUAUAAGUCAGUGGUGAAAUCUCUGGGCUUAACCCAGAAAUUGCCAUUGAUACUGUAGGGCUUGAGUAUAGUUGCCGUUGGCGGAAUAUGACAUGUAGUGGUGAAAUACAUAGAGAUGUCAUAGAACACCGAUUGCGAAGGCAGCUAACGAAACUAUAACUGACACUGAGGCUCGAAAGUGCGGGGAUCAAACAGG
rnacentral:rRNA from 1 species